GCUAUCUGCGCAGAGCUGGGGCAGCACACAGAGGGAACACACGCACGUAGCCGACUGUUAUCAUCAUUGAACAGAGCAGAGAACCACACCGGUGAUGUCUGACAACAUUGGUGACCCCAACGGCUGAUCUGGUUAUAGGUUUUACAGAAACCUCCAAAAGAUAAAGCAAUUGAAAACAGAACAAAACAAGAAACAAAAAGAAAAUAAGGUUUUUUUAUUUGUUAUUCAAAGGAAAAAUGUAAGGGGAACCUCAACAUUAAGGUAAAGAUAAUAUUAACAAAAUGUCAAUUUCUUGUUUGGGUUUUUAUAAACUUGUUUGCACUUUUAAAUACAGUUAUAAGAAUGUGAUAGCAAAAAUGUUUAAAAAUAACAAUUUAUGCAUAAAGCUAACCAAACAAUUUCAACAGGUUUCCACGUUUUCAAUAGGUUUCCACCUUUGGCUCCCAAAUACAACAAAGCAUCAUGAAAGUUUAAUACUGUCAAAGUAUUUGCAUGGACCUGUAUUUAAAAUUUAUUUUGGUUUAAUUUUAUAGUUGGUUUAAUUUUAUACACUUUUAUUUUAUGUUAUGUUAUGUUAAUGGGAAGCAGUGGUGUUAAAAUUUGUGCUUCUAAACAGUUAACAAGAGUGAAAUUAGUAUCACAAGCAAAUUAACUCUAAAAAGCUUGGUAACAAUUAUGUUAUUGACACUUUUGCUAACACAGAAUGUUCAUCAGGAAAAAAAGCAAUACACCUUCUCACAGAAGAUCGUGAGCAUUGAUUUUAGCAGUUAAGCAUUACAUUUAGUAUAAAAUAUUAGUAAUGCACCUCAAAUGAAAAUGAAUGUCUAUACAACAAUUGCAAAAGUAUAGCUUGUGUUAUAAAAGACUUGGUCCCUAUUACAUUGUCCCUAUUAUAUUGUAAACAAUUAAGUUAAACUUUUUAUUAAGUUUGGGUUACUGAAAACAAAAACAAAAAAGGAAAACAAACAAAAAACGUUACUAUGUUAACUAACAAAAGUUGUUUAAGUUGCAUCCCACAGACCAAAGACACCAGAAAAUAUCAGUAUACAGUGAAGAAACUCCCAAGCAUCAAGAAAAGAAAAAUGAAGUGUUUUAUAAAUAAGAGACUGGUCAAAUACACCUCUAUCUACCA